CUACGCUACCAAUCUCAUUCUGGGGGUAUGCCUUAGAGACUGCCGCCCAUAUUCUUAAUCUAGUCCCUACAAAGAAAGUUGCCAAAACUCCUCACGAGAUGUGGACUGGUAAAGUACCUAAACUAGACCACAUCAAGAUUUGGGGUUGCGAGGCUUUCGUGAGACGCGAGACUCAUGAUAAGCUCGAACCUCGAAGCGAGAGGUGUAUUUUCAUCGGUUACCCACAGCGAUCCUUUGGUUACCUCUUCUACAGACCUAGUGACAAUGUGGUCUUUGUAGCAAGAAGAGGAGUCUUUCGAGAAAGAGAGUUUAUAAGCCAAGGAGACAGUGGGAGGCAAAUUGAUCUUGAAGAAAUUCAAGAAUCAAGCGGUGAAGGAACUUCAAACUCUAGCCCUCAACUUGAGGAGGAAACUCCUGUUGAGCCAAUUGACAAAUCUGUACCUCUGAGACGUUCCACGAGAGUUAGGAGUGCACCUGAGCAUUACUAUGGAUUCCAUAUUACUGCAGAAGGUGAGACACUUAUUAGUGAUGAGACACUAGUAAGUCAAGAUGACCCUAACAGCUACGAGGAAGCCAUGGCAGGCCCCGAGUCUGCUAAAUGGAAAGAGGCUAUGGAUAGCGAGAUACAAUCCAUGUAUGACAAUCAAGUUUGGAACUUGGUUGAAAAUGUACCAGGUCGUAAGACAGUAGGGUGCAAAUGGGUCUUCAAGAAGAAGACCGACAUGGAUGGUAAAGUACACACUUAUAAGGCUAGACUGGUUGCAAAGGGCUUCUCUCAAAUUCCUGGAGUGGAUUAUGAUGAGACCUUUUCUCCGGUAGCCAAGAUUAAGUCUAUUCGGGUUCUGUUAGCCAUAGCUGCAUUUCAUGACUAUGAAAUAUGGCAGAUGGAUGUCAAAACCGCUUUCCUUAAUGGAAAGUUGGCUGAAGAUGUUUACAUGAGUCAGCCAGAGGGUUUUGUCAGCAACGAGUACCCUAAUAGAGUGUGUAAGCUUGAGAAAUCCAUUUAUGGAUUGAAGCAAGCACCUCGCAGAUGGAAUCUUUGCUUUGAUGAAAAGGUCAAGGAAUUUGGCUUUUCUAGGAGUGAAGAUGAAUCUUGUGUGUAUGUCAAGGCUAGUGGGAGUAUAGUUAGCUUUUUGGUAUUGUAUGUGGAUGACAUACUACUCAUAGGAAACGACAUUCCAACCCUGCAGGAAGUAAAGUCCUGGCUUGGGAAGUGUUUCGCUAUGAAGGACCUUGGUGAAGCUGCCUAUAUUCUAGGGAUAAGAAUCUUGAGAGAUCGGAGUAAAAGACUAAUUGGACUUAGUCAGAGUACCUACUUGGAUAAGGUGCUGAAGAGAUUCAGCAUGCAGGAUUCCAAGAAAGGAGAGUUACCCAUCCAGAGUAACACCAGAUUGAGUAAGACACAAAGCCCUAGCACUGAGGCUGAGAUAGCAGAAAUGAGUCGAACACCUUACGCUUCGGCUGUAGGAUCGAUCAUGUAUGCUAUGACGUGUACUCGACCCGAUGUAGCUUUUGCCUUGAGCAUGGUUAGCAGGUAUCAGGCGAACCCUGGCAAGGCACACUGGACUGCGGUAAAGAAUAUCCUCAAGUACCUACGGAGGACUAAGGACUGGGUCCUUACCCUCGGUGGGAGUGAUGACUUGAGAGUUGUAGGGUAUAGUGAUGCUAGCUUCCAGACUGAUAGGGAUAAUUUCCGCUCUCAGUCGGGCUGGGUCUUUACCCUAAACGGAGGAGCAAUUUCUUGGAAGAGUUCCAAGCAAGAGACAGUGGCAGAUUCUACUUGUGAAUCAGAGUAUAUUGCAGCUAGCGAGGCAGCAAAGGAGGCGAUAUGGCUGAAGAACUUCAUUGGAGACCUUGGAGUUGUACCAGCUAUUAAAGAGCCAAUGGAAAUUUUCUGUGAUAGUGAAAGUGCUGUUGCCUUAGCCAAGGAACCAAGGGAUCAUGGGAGAUCCAGACACAUCGACAGAAAAUACCAUUUCAUUAGACAUCGGAUCGAAGAAGGACUCCUCGUGGCAAAGAGGGUAUCAUCGGAUGAGAACCCAGCAGAUCCCCUCACGAAGGGACUGAGUAGGGUUAAGCAUCUCCAGCAUGCUCGGAGCAUAGGGCUGAAGGAUGAUAUAAGUUUUAGUAGUUAGAUAACCCAGAAAUUUGUAAAGUGUAAUUGACAUUUGAUGAUGAAUAAAAGGUGUUUUAUUUAUGAGUAAAGUGUUGCUAUCUCUUGUCGAUCGUUUACUAUAUUUCUUUUGCAUGUUUUGACUUCCAGAAUAAUUAUGUUUGGUAUAUCAUAUUAUUCAAACCUCCACAGUCGGUCAUAUGUCGGAAGUAGGUAUGAAUCAAGACUGUCAUGAUGGGUUGCAGAGGUCUAAGGUGUUGGACAAGGCUACAACAAUCAUGAGUGCUCAUAAGUUCUGAGCAUUGGACUCAACCCACGCUCACUGGAAUCACUUCAUGGAAUUUUAUCUCGAGUGAUCGUGAGACGGUAAUAUCAUAUAAGUCUUCAAACCUAGAGAUAUGAUUUGUUACUUACGAGUUGGUUAUGCAUUGAUUGUACGAAAACGCAUUGGUAACUCGAUGUUAUAAAACGUGCUUUUGUGUGUAAUUCAAUGAGUGGUAGAACAAACAUAUGAGUCGAAGUUUAUCUGUUCCUUCUUGGAUUAGAAGCUGAUAUCUGGGCCCCUCGAUGAUUUUGUUUUGACCUAUGUACCGGGCCCGGUCAGAACUAAAUUGAUGUGUUCAGUUGAGUUCUAUGUCAAACAAAUCGGAAAUCGGGAAACAAAUGCUGGACAAUAAGCAAGACAAUGUUCCAUGUAUUUGUCCGGCUGAUAUCUAGAACAGAGGAUUAUAUGAUCACUUAUCUAAAUGGCGCGUUCUAGUUCAACAGAGUUUAAAGAGCUACGAUUGCUGAUCGGUUCCUGAAGUUAUACUUGCAAAUAUAGUUACUAGACUUAUCCAAGUGGGAGACUGUUGGAUAUAGUGUCUAAGCCCAUAACUAUAUUUGGUAUGUACUUGACCCGACCCGGCAUGGUCCAUUUGGGUUGCACUUCACCCGAACAAUUUAUGGAUAAUAUUUGAGAAUAGUACAAGUUAUGAUUUAUUAAUAUAUUAUAAGUUCUAAUAUAUUAAUAUAAGAUCAUAUUAUUUAAUUAGUAGUGAUCUAUAAUUAAUCUAGGAUUAAUUUAGUGAUCAAAGAUAUUACUAAUUAAAUAUGGGCUUCUAUAUUUAUAUAGUGUGGGCUUAUGCUUAUUUGGAAUGGGCUAGGCUUGGAUGGAGAAGUCCAUGGAUACUCCAUGGAGCUUUAACCCAUGGAUCUCAUGGAAAUGAAGAGACAUGGGUAUUAGGGUUUACAUGGAUGUAACCCUAAUCCACCACACUAUAUAAAGGAGGCUUUGGCUCUUGAAAUCAAACUAGUUGAGGCAAGUGAACACUAGUUGACACAUAUUGAGGAGAGGGCCGAUUUCAAGAGAAGUGUGACUAUUCUCUCAAAGUUCCAAGUUUGUGGUGAUUUGUGACUUUCAUUUGAGGCAUCCACAUUAUUGGUGCUAGGCUCUAAAACUCCAAGGAAUCAACUACAACUACAAGGUAAGUAUUUCUACUAGCUUUAUUUGAUUCAAGUUCCCCAUGCCAUGCUAGUUAGGAUAUAAGCCUUGGAAAAAUAAUUAUUUGCAUGUAUCUUAGACAAACAUAGAUCCAAGGUUUAUUAGGGUUGCAUGUACACUUAGGAAGUGUUAGAAUGCUCAAAACCCAACAGUCACAAGCAUAGAAAAACCCUUAUCUCUCCUCCCACUUUAUUCACUCUUUCUCAAGGGGAACAAACACAUCUCUAUCACUUUCUCUGUCUAAAAUUUGAGAUUCAAAGGCUGGUCUUGAGUUUUUCCUCCACAUUUGGUAAGUAUCUUCUUCCUACACUUAGAUAUUCUACUAUCCUUCAUCCAAAUAAUGGAUUGCUUACACAAAUAUCGUCAUAAUUAUUGUUAGAUCCUCAAAUCUUCAAGCAUCUCCCAAGUGUUCUUGAGUUGAACACUUCUAUUCUUCCUCAUCCAUCUACUUAAAUCACUCAACGUGAGUUCAUACCCCUAUCUUUUCAUGCUUUUCUUAAGUUUUAAGGGGGGGAAUAUAAGUUAAAACACCAAGAACACAACUAAACUCAAACAGCAGGUUUCAACCGAAAAGUUAAUGUUCAUUCACGGACUGUUUUGGACAACUUAACCAUUUUCAUUUUCAAAACUGUAUUAGAUGCAAAUAUUUCACUUUUAUACCUUUAAAAUGACUACUUACACAUGUCCAUACGAUUUUUCUACUAUUUAUGGUGAUUUUUACAAAACUGCAUAUCAAUGUAGCUGUGAAUUCGGACCAGUCGGUGAAUAUGAACAUUUUCACACCAGUUACAGACUUUUAAAAAUCACAAUAAAAUUUAUGGACAAACUAGACACAUUUUCUAAACUCUCAGAGUUUACGUAUUUAGCUUUCGACUCUGUAUGAUUUUUCUAUAAUUAUUCCAAGAAUAGGAACAGAAAAGAUAACACCAGCAAAUUAUUGAUAACUCAUUUACACCUUGUAACUUGCUGAGCAAGGUGUGUACUAUCAUAUAUAAAUACAUGUUGGUUAUAUUGCAUAUCUUUUACCUUAUUACAGAGGUUUACAUAAUAUGUAAAAAGGAUUUCUACCAUUACAAAACCUUUUUGAUAAGCUAUAAUAUGUAUAGUUUACGUUUCGUAUACAUUACAAACAUUUAUGAUAAACUAUGGUAAGUAUAGUUUAUGUUUCAUAUAAAUUUUAAACAUGUUUCAAUUAACAAAACUAACACAUUUCGGAAGGUUUUAUUCCCAUGGAAAAAGGUUUUACACUCACAAACACUACACGUAAACUUGUUAACGUAAAUUGUGAGACAUUCUCCUCGGUACUCCUAGAGUACAGGUUAAAAUUCCUGGUAGUUAUAACUAGAGUCUCUUGUAGGGAGAACGUGAUACUUGUGUAUAGGUCUAUAUUGGGUAUGACAAACCCACACCUAAGCUACAUGCAACAGCUAGACUAGCAAGUCUGGGGUGACAAGUGUCAUUAUCUUUUUCGACGCCUGAGAAACGUCGUGGCAGGUUCAUUAGUCAUAGUAUGGUUAUAGCGACUCACAUGGAUAUUACUUGUACAUUUUGAUCUUGGUAUUUAAGACUACACAUCACUCUUGUAAGGAAAAUAUUGGAUUUUUCUUGGUAACACACAACUCAUUACAAAGAUCGGUUUCCAAACUCUUCAUCUAAAAAGCUUAUGAACUCACCAACUUAAUUGUUGACACUUUUUCAAAACUACUUGUAUUCUCAGGGAAUCAACAAAACCAGGAAAUCACAAGCUUUUGAGGAUGGUACGCUAUGGCGUUCAACAACUAUUUCCAUAUCAUGUUGUAAUCAAUCAUUGAAAUAUGUAACACUUGAAACUAUCUAAUUCUUUUCCGAUUAUAUUUAUGAUUGGUUGUAUUGCUUGAUCACUAUUAUACUCGUUGUUAUGAUACUAUACAUAAAGUCCGCCAACCCCGGACGUUUCCGCCAUCCUUGGUUUGGGGGUGUCACAGUAAAAGUGUCCUACUCUUGUACAUUUGAAAUUGGUAAACUGUGAUGUUUUAGAUAAAACAAAGACCAUCUAAGGCCAAUUGUGUGAAGUGUUUGUCUUGAUAAAGAAUCUGCACUAUCUCUUGAAUAUUUGGCAAGAUAGUCUUAUAUGUCAAGAGGACAGUGGGAGUCUUAAAGAUCCUAAAAGAAUUUCAAGAUCUCAUCAAGAGUAAAACCUAUAGUUUAUCACUAGCUCACGACAUGAGGUUUAUAACCUAUCAUGUUGACAUAUUGACAUUUCUGUGCCCAUUCCAAUAAAGUUGGCUAUACAUUUGAGUUCUACAUGUUCUCAAUUGGUUGCAUAACAACUUGGAAGCAAUAGCAGGCCCUGUACUGCCAGGUAGUGAGAAGUUAAGAUUGCACAAGUUCAGUCCAUAUGAGUUUGGAUUUGUCACUAACCUAGUCUUUUGAUUAUGGUUUUGACAAAUUCACGUGGAUAAGAACACAUACACCAUAAAAUCUAAGGGUCAUAAGGUUUCUCUCCGAUUCAUGAAAAUGAUGGUGAGGAAACACUUCCACCAAGUAGAUUUUAAGUAAGAUAGCAAUUGUAAUCUCUGCAUUCUCAAAGUCGUUAGUGGAGCGUGCGUGGUUAACCGGCACACUAACAUGGACUUAUGAGAAAUAGAAAAUAUCUAAACAAUUGAGACUAUGAUUACGGCAUCCCUUUUCAUUGUUCUAAAAUUGUUUAGACACAUCUGUGAGCUAUCUAAGAUAAGGUGUAUAAUUUUGAUAAACUUUUAUCAAAGCAAUCUCGUAUCAGAAAUCUGAACUUUGGUAAGAAAGUCAAUAAAGUAUUGAUUUCUAGAAGUCCAGCUAAUUUCUGGAUACAUGUCAAAGCUAGUGGGAGCAUAAGUGUUAUGCUAGUGAAGUAAUGAUUGUUAUGCUAGUGGUAGCAUAAUCAGUUAUGAUGAAUGUUGCAAGAUUAGCAAUGUUAGUUAUAGAAAACAAAAGUUUCAAUUUGCAAGUUGUAGAGUAUGGAAAGUUGUUUUGCUAUAAUUAAGGGAGAGGAAAUUAUACUUCAUUUCAAUUCUAAAAGCUUAGAUUGAGGUUUUAAUCAUCUUUAGUCAAGGAUAUAUAUAUAUAUAUAUAUAUAUAUAUAUAUAUAUGAAUUUUAUGUUGGAGUGGCUCAACAUAAGGAAAUUCUUUAUAUGGGUCCAUUAUUUGCGUUCUAAAAUUCGAUUAUGAUUAUGACAUCCCUUUUCAUAAUCUGAUUUAUGAGAACUUGGCAAGUAGACAUAAAAAUAUUUUAGGAAAAAGACUGGUCUAGUAUCAUGUCUUUAUGUGAGACAUCAUGAAUCGUGUCCCAUAUGCUUCAGAUAUAGGAUCGAUUGCAUGUGCUAUAAUAUUCAUCCUUUCUAAAUUUUCCAAAUGCUCUGGGCAUUAAGGGGAAAAUUCUAGAAUUUGAUAUGACUAUAAUGAUUAAGCAAUUGUCGAGGACAAUCUACGGUUUACCAAAGAUUGGUUGCUCGGGGACAGUUGGAAGUAUAGUCAGUUUGUGUAAGAUUAGAAAAACUUAAUGCAAGAAGGAUGUUUCCAUGGAAUUGAUCUCCAUCGGAAUACUCUGUAGUGUUUUGACAAGUCUUUGUGACUUUGUGCAUAAUCAUUACAAGAGAAUCAUGCAUAUAAGUUUAAAAUCUAACAGAUUAAAGUAAAUGAUAGGAAUUUGGAAUUCUUACAUUUUCGAUAAGGAUUUGGGAGUGUGAAAAGAGAAUCAUUGAAAUUAUGUUCAAUCGAUCUAGUUCACAAAGUAAGGAUCAUAGACAAACAAAGAGUGCAAGUGGAUAAACUAAAUGAGAGAAAUAACACAUAUGGUUUAUUAAGAUAUUAUAGGUUCUAAUAUAUUAAUAAUAUUAUUUAAUUAGAUUUGAUCAAGAAUUAAUUUAGAAUUAAUUAAGUGAUCAAAAGAUAACUAAUUAAAUAUAUGGGUAGAUUAUGUAAAUCUUCCAUAUCUUAUAUAGUGGGCUAAGAGGCUCCAUGGAUUAUCAAGUUGGGUUCCACCCAUAGGAUGCUCCAUGGAGUUAACCCAUGGAUCAAGAAAUGAAGAGUCAUGGAACAUUAGGGUUUACCUAAUGCAACACACUAUAUAAGCAAUGUAACUCUCCCCAAAAUCGGCUACACUAAGAAACAAGAGGGCUUGGCCGAUUUUGCAUGUGUUAGAGUAUUCUCUCAAGUUUAUUCUUUGCAUUUGGUGUUGUGUGAAGCAUUUGAGGCAUCACACUUAAGGUCCUAGGCUCACAAGGUUUCAAGGAACACUUUCAACAACAAGGUAUGUAGUUCUAUCUUUUAUACAAAGAAAAUUGUACCCCAUGUAUGUUAGAUAGGUUCAUAACCUUGGAAAACAACUUUGCAUGAUUAUUAGACAAACAUAGAUCCAAGGUUAUUAGGGUUGCAUGUACACUUAGGAAGUGUUAGAAUGCUCAAAACCCAUCAAUGGUAUCAGAGCCUAGGCUUGCUUGUUUGAUUUUUGUGCAAACUGCUUGAAAAAUCGAGUUUUCUGCUUUCUGCCCGUAUGAACUCGCCGAGUCCAUGGGGGGACUCGACGAGUCCAUGACCAAAUGCAAGCUACUCGUCGAGUCAGUUCAUGCACUCGACGAGUAGAGGCUGCAGUUUUCAGAAUUUCGAUUUUUGUUGCUGGAAAUGGACUAGGAACAUUACCCUAAACUGUUUUGGUGUUUUAAAACUUGUUUUAGUUGGUGUAAUGUUCAUGUUAAUCCAUUUACAAUGACAAAUUAUCAAAAUUACAAGUUUUUAAGUGUAAUUUUUGAUUCAUGAAAGUGUUCAUAUUCAUGUUCUUGAUCUUAUGAUGUUUAGAUGAUCAUAGGAAUUAUUUGUAACCUAUGUGGUAGAUUAAUUCAUGAUCAUUAUGUGUUUUAAUGGAGUCCAUAACUUGUCCUCAAGUUAUGGAAAACCAAAAGUCACUUUGUUUUAAAACCAUUAAAAGAACACAUGGGUUAUAAAAAUGAAGAGUCUUCAUUUUUAAUACUCUAAUUAACUCAUAAGUUACAAGAAAUGAAAAGUUUUGAAAGUUUACAAAACUUGCCCUCAAGUUUUGGAACAAGUAAAGUCAUGAUUAAAACUUUAGUUCCAACCCUUAGAAUUUUAAAAGUUAAAAUUCAACCCUUAUACUUAUAAUAUUAUAAGUUAAUAAUAAUAUAUAUAUGUAUAAGAUCAAAGUCGUCUUACCGCUAGUACGCCUCAUUCACGAAGCCAGUCUAUAAGGUGGGUAUAAGGUUGUUGCCUAUAAAAUGGCAACUUAAUGGGUGUCCACUCUCACCCACCGCUUGCUUGACUGGUGGAGGGUCGUUAGCCGAACGGGUAAGACAAGGACUUAUAAAUUCUCAUUAAAAGUAUGAUGAAAAUUAUAAAGUAACUAAAGGUUUUAUUAAAUUCCCAAUCUUAGUUACUUUAGGAAAAAUGUGAAUAAGGUGCUAAUCCAUGAAAUUACACUUUACACUUUGUCUAAGUCGUUAGUGGAGCGUGUGUGGUUAACCGGCACACUAAAUUGAACUUAACAAGGUAGGUAAAGGGUGACUUAAUGUUUAUCAUAGUAUCGAUGGAGCGUGUGUGGUUAACCGACACAUCGAUUGAGGGGUAAUACAUUAAGGGUACCAAGUAAUUUGCAUGGUUACUUCACACCUCGUUUUGUGAUCCUCGGCAUCCCAGUCACAAAACUUGGAGGGCACACUCGAGAUUGAAACAUGCCUUUGAAAAGUUCAUUGAAUCUCAAAAGAAUCUAGGAGUUUCUAAGAACCAAAUUAAAUAUUUUUAAUAUUUCGUCUUUGGUGGAAAUUAGUGAAUCGUCAUUCACCUACCUUUCAAAUAUGUUAUUACGUAGAUUACGUCAUACCUCUUCUAAGUAUAAUAUAUUGUGAUUGGGUCAUAGCCUUAAUACUGCAUUUGCGUAUUUUAUUAAGGACUAUCUCUAUUUCUAAACUAAACUUUUCUUCUUUUCAGAUGUCUGCAAACACUACUGCUUCUAGCUCUAAUCCUAUUGGCUCAUUUUCUCUAAUGAACUUGUGUGGGAAAGUCACUUUUGAUGGAUCCAACUUUAAUGAAAGGAUCAGAAACAUCCGAAUGGUUACCCGCUACGAGGACAAAGAAUAUGUCCUCGAUAAGGAGCUUAAGGAGAUUGAUGAGACAGUUGCUACUCCUCAAGAUAUCGCUGACUUUUGGGCACAUGAAAGGGAUGCCACCAAGGUGGCAUGCAUCAUGAUGGCCACUAUGACAGCCGACCUCCAAAAGUCCUACGAGGACUACUACCCUGUUGAAAUGUACCUAUAUUUGAUGGAAAGAUACCAUCAAAGUGCAAGACAAGAGAGGUAUGAAAUCAUCUCCUCCAUGAUAACAACCCGAAUGAAGGAUGGUGAACCCAUCAUGGGCCACAUGCAGAAAAUGCAAAGAUUUAUGGACCGCUUGCGGAAGCUUAAUAUGAACUUCCCCGAGGAGCUUGCAAUAGAUAUCAUUAUGCACUCCUUACCUUCAUGUUAUGAUAAAUUCUGCAUGACAUACCACAUGAACAAGGAAGAGGUCAGUCUUAGCAAACUUCAAGGACUCUUAAAGACCGCGGAAAGUGGUCUUAAGGGUAAGGCGGUUGUUACUACUCCUACUCCUACCAACUCCGCCCGUGUCUUGGCAAUCGGGAAAGGUCGAGGGAAGAAGAGAAAGAGUUCUUCGAAGGGUACCAAGGCUAGGACCCUUGAUGGCUCUUCUUUAAGUGGAACAAAGAAAGGUUUCAUCACUCCUUCUUCUGACCCAAAUGAGGCUGAAUGCUUCUAUUUUCAUGAAAAGGCACAUUGGAAGCGGAACUACCCAAAGUACCAGCAAGAUGUGAAGGAUGGGAAAGUCAAUCCCAACCAUGCAGGUAUUUACACUAUCUUAUCUAACAACUCACCCCAUUCUAAAUCAUGGGUCCUCGAUACCGGUUGUGGUAUUCAUAUAUGUUCUGAUUUGUAGGGACUAAGAAGAAGUUAGAAUGUGGAGCAAGGAAGAAUAAACUUCAUCAUGGGAAACAGGAAAGCUUCACCUGUCACAAAGAUUGGAGUUUAUACUUUAUCGCUAACUAGUGGGUUUAGUUUAGAUUUGAAUAAAUGUUUUUAUUUGCCAGAAAUGGCAAGAAAUAUUAUUUCCUUUCAUGCAUUGUAUAAACAAGGUUUUACCUUUUCAUUUGAUAAUGAAGUUUGUUCGAUUAAUGCUUUCUUUAAUAAUAUUCUUUAUUUUAAAGCAUUACCUUGUGAUGGUGUGUAUGAAACUGUAUCUGUGGUUGAUAACAUGGGAAAUAAUGUUUUGUGUAUUGAUUCUCCUAAUAAUAAUAACUUGGAUAAAGAAUCAUUAUGGCAUUGUCGUCUUGGACAUAUAAGAAAGAAAUGCAUAGGCCAACUCCAAAAGGAUGGAGUCUUGGAGUCAUUUGACCUAAAGUCAGAUGAUAGUUACGAAUCAUGCUUACUUGGAAAAAUGAAAAAGUCACCCUUCAUAGGUUCUUGUGAGAGGGGUGAAGGUUUGUUGGAUCUUAUACACACGUAUGUGUGUGGACCAUUCAAACAUGCCACAAGGGAUGCUAAUCGUUAUUAUUUGACUUUUACUAAUGAUUACAGUAGAUAUGGAUAUGUCUACUUAAUCAAGCAUAAGUCAGAGACUUUCGAAAGGUUUAAGGAAUUUAAACAGGAAGUCGAGAAUCAAUUGGGCAGGAACAUUAAGAUGCUUCGAUCCGAUCGUGGUGGUGAGUAUCUUAGUUCAGAGUUCCUCGACUAUCUAAGGGAAUGUGGGAUAGUCUCACAAUUGACACCUCCCAGGACACCACAGUUGAAUGGUGUGGCUGAGAGGCGUAAUCGAACCUUGUUAGAUAUGGUUCGUUCCAUGAUGAGUCGAGCUUCGCUACCAAUCUCAUUCUGGGGGUAUGCCUUAGAGACUGCCGCCCAUAUCCUUAAUCUAGUCCCUACAAAGAAAGUUGCCAAAACUCCUCACGAUAUGUGGAAUGGUAAAGUACCCAAACUACACCACAUCAAGAUUUGGGGUUGCAAGGCUUUUAUGAGACGCGAGACUCAUGAUAAGCUCGAACCUCGAAGCGAGAGGUGUAUUUUCAUCGGUUACCCACAGCGAUCCUUUGGUUACCUCUUCUACAGACCUAGUGACAAUGUGGUCUUUGUAGCAAGAAGAGGAGUCUUUCGAGAAAG
rnacentral:lncRNA from 1 species